rnacentral:miRNA from 1 species
UAAUAAUAAUCAUGAUUUUUUCUGUGUUGGUGUAAUGUACUCAGGUGAAUAUGAUGCUUGUGAUGUUAACAUCACAAGCAUCAUAUUCACCUGAGUACAUUACACCAACACAGAAAAAAUCAUGAUCA